rnacentral:rRNA from 1 species
AGCGAACGCUGGCGGCAGGCCUAACACAUGCAAGUCGAACGAACCUUUCGGGGUUAGUGGCGGACGGGUGAGUAACACGUGGGAACGUGCCUUUAGGUUCGGAAUAACUCAGGGAAACUUGUGCUAAUACCGAAUGUGCCCUUCGGGGGAAAGAUUAAUCGCCUUUAGAGCGGCCCGCGUCUGAUUAGCUAGUUGGUUGAGGUAAUGGCUCACCAAGGCGACGAUCAGUAGCUGGUCUGAGAGGAUGAUCAGCCACAUUGGGACUGAGACACGGCCCAAACUCCUAAGGGAGGCAGCAGUGGGGAAUCUUGCGCAAUGGGCGAAAGCCUGACGCAGCCAUGCCGCGUGAAUGAUGAAGGUCUUAGGAUUGUAAAAUUCUUUCACCGGGGACGAUAAUGACGGUACCCGGAGAAGAAGCCCCGGCUAACUUCGUG